GCGCCCGUAGCUUAAUGGAUAGAGCAACUCCCUUCUAAGGAGUAGAUUGGAGGUUCGACUCCUCUCGGGCGCG
rnacentral:tRNA from 1 species